GAAUAUUUAACUCAACGACCUAAAGAGGUUAUUGAUGGAACGAAAAUGAUAUAUGUAUGUAUAAAAGCUCCUUUCAAUUACAUCUUUUCAGAAUAUCAAUUUCGAAGUUAUUUUGUUACGUAAAUUGAUAUUUACCACAGGAUUACAGAUAUUAAGCACUAUCUGGUUGAUAACAGACGCUGUGUGAGGCACUGGUGCGAGAGAUAUUCUGUUACGAGUUAUAUCGAGUAGAUAACAACAUGGAGAGCUUCCCUACUAGGAAUGUAAUGAAAAGUUGUAAUGUAAACGGCCGUGCGUAUUAAUUGUCUCAAUGGUAGAAUGA